GGGGUUUUAACUCAUUGGUAGAGUGUUCGCUUUGAUUGCGAAAAGCCCGGAGUUCAAUCCUCCGCAACUCCA
rnacentral:tRNA from 1 species